UUUAACGGUUAUUUUAACUCCGAUUUUGAUGAUUUUUUUACAGCUACAUUCCUUGACCAUAUAUGAAUACAAUGACUGAAUUUGAUCUUCAAUUUAAAAUAUUUACACUAGUGGAUACCACAAAAUCUUAUGUUAUAUUUAACGAAAGUAUAAAAAAAACUCUUAAUUGUUAGUGAAUAUAUUAUUUUGAUGGCAUACACAUUCUACGAAACUAGUUUCAACGAUCCAACCGGCAAAUUUGUUUGUUUAUACUUCGAGAUCAUAUAUGCCAAAAAUCGGAAAAAAUAAACAUUCAGAGAUCAAGUAACGGGACAAAACUUUUUUACGGUUAUAAAUGAAAAAUCAUGAUUUAAUGGUUAUUUUAACUCCGAUUUUGAUGAUUUUUUACAACUACACUCCUUGACCCUAUAUGAAUACAAUGACUGAAUUUGAUCUUCAAUAUAAAAUAUUUACACUAGUGGAUACCACAAAAUCUUAUGUUAUAUUUAACGAACAUAUAAAUAAACUCUUAAUUGUUAGUGAAUAUAUUAUUUUGAUGGCAUAUGCAUUCACCAAAACUAGUUUCAACGAUCCAACCGUCAAACUUGUUUGUUUAUACUUCG
rnacentral:lncRNA from 1 species